rnacentral:pre_miRNA from 1 species
CAACCACCUCCCACAAUUUCAGAGUCUUAGCCAGAUUAUCUGAAACUGUGUGAGGUGGUUUUU